rnacentral:lncRNA from 1 species
GGAGGUUUGGGACGAAGGAAUGGAUCUGUUCAUUUGGCUGUGAUUUCGAUGCCUGUUCCACCGUCGAAGAGCUUUUCCCAUCAGAAAGUCGUUUCUGUGAUUGAGUUAGGUGGCGGACGGGUGUGGGGGACUCCCUGGUCCUGAGUGGGGCAACUGUGCCCCUGAAGGACCAGGUGCGCAGCCUGGGAAUCAUUUUGGACUCACAGCUGUCCAUGGAGGCGCAGGUUAAUUCUGUGUCCAGGGCAGGUGUCUACCAGCUCCAUCUGGUAUGCAGGCUGAGACCUUGCCUGCCUGCGGACUGUCUCGCCAGAGUGGUGCAUGCUCUGGUUAUCUCCUGCUUGGACUACUGCAAUGUGCUCUAUGUGGGGCUACCUUUGAAGGUGACUCGGAAACUACAACUAAUCCAGAAUGCAGCAGCUAGACUGGGGACUGGGAGUUGGUGCCGACCUUUAAAGCCCUAAACGGCCUCGGUCCUGUAUACCUGAAGGAGCAUCUCCACCCCCGUCGUUCUGCCCAGACACUGAGGUCCAGCGCCGAGGGCCUUCUGGUGGUUCCCUUGCUGCGAGAAGCCAAGUUACAGGGAACCAGGCAGAGGGCCUUCUUGGUGGUGGCGCCCCCCCUGUGGAACACCCUCCCAUCAGAUGUCAAGGAAAUAAACAACUACCAGACUUUUAGAAGACAUCUGAAGGCAGCCCUGUUUGGGAAAGUUUUCAAUGUUUGAUGUUUUGUCACUUUUUUAUUAUUAUUAAUAUUCUGUUGGGAGCUGCCCUGAGUGGCUAGGAAAACCCAGCCAGAUGGGCAAGGUGUAAAUAAUACAUUAUUAUUAUUAUUAUUAUUAUUAUUAUUAUUAUUAUUCACCUUCCUUUCCCAGCCUGGCUUGGUGGCCCUUCCCCAAACGACGACACAGCUUGUUGUUCUUCUCUCUCAGAAAUGGCAGCAGAGGAGAAGCCCCUGCAAGGGCUGCUGAAGUGCCUGAAGGAAUUGAUCGUCCAUCAGCCCCCUCACACAUCCCGCUGGAACCCCAGCAGCAGCUGGCAGCCAGCCCUGCGGCAGAAGAUGAGGGAAGGGGCCUGUGGGUCUCCCCUUGGCCAAGUUAAAAUUGAAGCCGUGGAUGAGGAGCUGCCUGCCCCUAGCCUGGAAAACACUGCUGCACAAGGAGGAUCCAGCCCUCCGGUUGCUCCCUCCUGUCGUGUUUCCACCUGCCAGACUGAAGGAGGCAGGAGAAGGAGCCGGUCAGAGGCAAAGGACAGGAACAUCUUUGCAGUGGUUAAAAUGGAAGAACCAUCUGAGGACCUUGUGCGAGACCUGAAGGAAGUCCCCGAGGAGGAGCGAGACCUGACACCUAGCCUCCCCGAAGGAUCCCUCUCUCAAAGCAGCCCAGAGACAGGGAUGGACCUGGGGAUGUGGGUCCCAUAUUCGGAGGCCUGGAGCCCAGUGACCAGUCCUCUCCAUGGGCUCCUGAACUGCCUGAAGGACAUCCCUGACCCAAGGCCUCAGGCCUCCCAAGCUGUGGCUGGAAAAAGAGGAGGAGGAGGAAAAGAGCGAAGGAAAGGAGGAAAGAGAGGAAGAUUAGAACCACGCAGCAAUGCGGCCGCAGCAGAGAGCAGAGCAGGGCAGCUCCCAGAGCAACACCCCUCCAUCGCUUGCCCUCUGUGGUAAGGGGGCGGGAUUUGGUUUGCGCUUUCUCUUUGCAGUCUGGAGUUGCCAGGGGACUACAGCUCCCAUCAGCCCCCAACCAACAUGGCCACUUUAUUUUGUAACGGUUAUACACCCCUCGGCUGCAAGAAAACCAACCAUCUUGAAGCAGUUCACAAAAGAAAAAGAAGAAAUGAUCCACGACCCAAAUUGACGAGUAAUUUCAGAUUUUCGGAAAGUUAAAUAACAGCAGGCUAAAAACAGAUUAGAACUCGUGCCAUCUUUCUAAAAAAAUCUGGACAGGGUUGAUUAACAAGAACGCUUCCACCAGUUAAAUUGAUGGACUAUGCCGAAACGGCAAAAAAUGACCAGAAGAAUCGGAAAUUGGGAAGGCCAAUAUUUUAAUAAGGAAUGGGGAAAAUUUGUAAUUUACCUUAAAAACCAUUGUAAACAGUUGAAAUCGUUAGUAGGAUUGGAAUAACACUUGUAGUUUAAUGGUGAAUUUCGGAUAUAAUGGAGAUGUAAAAGAUUUGGAUUAUUAUAAAAGAUGCAGGAGGAAACGAUUAAUAAUAGGGCCUACAAUAGGGAGGAGGGAAGUCCAGGAGAUUCUUUAGGAUCUUGUCUUUAUGUUGUACGUUUGUGAUUGUAAAAUUUAAACUUGAAAAACAUAAUAAAUAAAGUUACUUAUUUUUUUAAAAAAGCUUCCACCAGGCGCCGAAAAGAGUGCCGUGAAGGCAGCUUCCUAGAUAUCAAUAGGCAGGGAGUUCCAGAGGUCACGCUACAAACCAUCGAGUUUUGGCAAAUGUGAAACGGGCUUUUCCGGAGCGCCUGUAACUGCCAGUUCCUCUAAUGGAAGCUGCUGAGUGGGUGUUUAUGGGGUAAAGGGAUCUUGUAGGCAAACUGGUCCCAAGUUAUUAAGGUCUUUAUAAACCAAUAGUAUAUUUACUAAUACGGUGCUGUGGCUGAUGGGAUUUGUAGUCCAGAAUUUCUAGAGGCCACCAGGUUGGGGAAAGGCACCCCCACUCAUUCGGUGAGGGUCAGUGAUGGUCGCCCGAACAGGGACCGAUGGCCGCCUGUUUUCAUUUCUUCCAACAGACCCUCUUCCAGAGUGUUUUCUCCCUCGAGGGCCAGAGACCUUCCUUGGUGAAUCGCCCUGCCAAACACCCUCGCCUGUCUCCGGUGUGCGCCAGCAGCCACCGGGGUCCAGACACAGAAUGGCGGAAAUCCAAGGCGGGGACAUCACGAGAAGGUCAGGGGGCGGCUUGCUCCAUCGGUUCGCCAUUCCCUCCUUGGCGUUUCCUGAGCCUCUCCUAACUGGCAGCCGUGAAAAAAACGCAGAUUCCACUCUGUGGAUCGUUAGGAAAGGGAUUGAAAAUAGAGCGGCCGAUGUCUCAAUCUAUGAUGCGACCAUAUUUGAAAACCUGUGUGUCUCUGCUCAGAAAGGAUAUGGAAAGGGGAAGUUUCAGGAAAGGGGUGGCAAAAAGAAAGGGUGAAGCAUUUGGACUUUUUAGUUUAGCGGAAAGGCAAGGGAGAGGAGACACAAUGGAAGUUUAUAAAAUUAGGCACGGCCUGGAGAAGUGAAGUGAAGAAGGCACAGCCUGGAGAACAGCAGACAGAGAAGUGUUUUCUCCCUCUCUCAUAAACAAUAGAACUUGUGGACGUCCCGUGGAGCAAAUGUUGGAAGAUUCGGGACAGGUGAAAGAAGCAGAGUUAAAGUGUGGAACUCCCUGCCACAGGAGGCAGUGACUGCCACCAGCUCGGAGGGCUUCCAAAGAGGAUUAGACUAAUUCAUGGAGGAGGAGAGGGCUCUCAAUGGCUACUAGCCAGGUGGCCGUUCUCUAUGGCCACGGUUGGACAAUGCUUCCAAAUGCCGGUAGCUGAAAACCAUAGGAGAGGAGAGUGUUGCUCUUGUGUUCAAAUCCUACUUGCAGAUUUCCUGCAGGCAUCCGUUUGUUUUUCUUCAGAAAAUUUUGUGCUUCUUAUAUUGUAAUUUUAUGUCAUGAGCCUGCCCUGAGAUCUAUGGAUGAAAGGUUGAAUUGAAUAAAUAACCAUCCGGUUGACCACUGUAAGAAGAGGGUGCCAGACUAGACGGGCCACUGGCCUGGUCCAGCAGAGUCUUUGAUGUUCUUACUGAGCUUCAGGCCUUCUGGUUUAGGAGCCGGCUUACUGUUCUCUCCCUCCUUCCCCACCCUCAGGACUCGGCACCCCCUUGCAAGGCCUGGAGAGGUGUCUGAAGGAGGUCCCCACUGGCGCCCACAGCCAGCCCUGUUCUCCGACCAUCAGCUCCUCCAUCGGCAGCUCCCCAGACAGGCUCCCCCGGCGGACCCCCGCGACCGGGAAGUGGGCGAAGAAGGAGGAAGGUGAGACUCAGCUGCGUGAUGUUGCUGGGAGCCGGUGAGGCUGGGCAGUUGUGGUCGCGGCCAGAUCCACCUGCCAACAACACCAUAGUUUCCCUUGGACAGAAUAUUUGAUCUCUGUCCUGAGCCAGCUUUGCUUCCUCUCAUUUUCGCAGGGCUCAGUCGGAACGGCACCCCUCUGCAGGGGCUGGAAAGGUGUCUGAAGGAGCUUCCCCCUGAGCUCGCCCAGCCAGCCCUCUUCGCCAGCCGUCAGCAGCUCCCCAGACAGGCUCCACAGGUGGACCCUGGAGGCAGGGAGGUGGAUGAGGAGGGAGGGAAGGUGAGUGGCGAGCAUCAAGGUUGGAGGCCGGACGGAAAUCUCCAGCCCGAAAUGGCAAAGAAUACCUUCGCUGCUGAAACGUUGGGAGCCCCAUCAGUUUUGGCAUUCUGUCGGCCUCUGAAGACUCAAGCAUUCCCCUCAUGUCGACUCUCUU